UGCGUAGGCGGUUUGGCAAGUCUUGUGUGAAAUCUAUGGGCUCAACCCAUAGUCUGCACAAGAAACUGCCGGGCUUGAGUAUGGGAGAGGUGAGUGGAAUUUCCGGUGUAGCGGUGAAAUGCGUAGAUAUCGGAAGGAACACCUGUGGCGAAAGCGGCUCACUGGACCAUAACUGACGCUGAGGCACGAAAGCUAGGGGAGCAAACAGGAUUAGAUACCCUGGUAGUCCUAGCCCUAAACGAUGAUCGCUUGGUGUGGCAGGUACCCAAUCCUGCCGUGCCGAAGCUAACGCGAUAAGCGAUCCGCCUGGGGAGUACGGUCGCAAGGCUGAA
rnacentral:rRNA from 1 species